AUGAACGCUGGCGGCGUGCCUAAUACAUGCAAGUCGAGCGAACGGACGAGAAGCUUGCUUCUCUGAUGUUAGCGGCGGACGGGUGAGUAACACGUGGAUAACCUACCUACAAGACUGGGAUAACUUCGGGAAACCGUAGCUAAUACCGGAUAAUAUUUUGAACCGCAUGGUUCAAAAGUGAAAGACGGUCUUGCUGUCACUUAUAGAUGGAUCCGCGCUGCAUUAGCUAGUUGGUAAGGUAACGGCUUACCAAGGCAACGAUGCAUAGCCGACCUGAGAGGGUGAUCGGCCACACUGGAACUGAGACACGGUCCAGACUCCUACGGGAGGCAGCAGUAGGGAAUCUUCCGCAAUGGGCGAAAGCCUGACGGAGCAACGCCGCGUGAGUGAUGAAGGUCUUCGGAUCGUAAAACUCUGUUAUUAGGGAAGAACAUAUGUGUAAGUAACUGUGCACAUCUUGACGGUACCUAAUCAGAAAGCCACGGCUAACUACGUG
rnacentral:rRNA from 1 species